rnacentral:rRNA from 1 species
UACGUAGGGUGCGAGCGUUAAUCGGAAUUACUGGGCGUAAAGCGUGCGCAGGCGGCUUCGCAAGUCAGGCGUGAAAUCCCCGGGCUUAACCUGGGAAUGGCGUCUGAAACUACGGAGCUGGAGUGUGGCAGAGGGAGGUAGAAUUCCACGUGUAGCGGUGAAAUGCGUAGAUAUGUGGAGGAAUACCGAUGGCGAAGGCAGCCUCCUGGGCCAACACUGACGCUCACGCACGAAAGCGUGGGUAGCAAACAGG